rnacentral:rRNA from 1 species
GAUGAACGCUGGCGGCGUGCCUAAUACAUGCAAGUCGAGCGAACGGACGAGAAGCUUGCUUCUCUGACGUUAGCGGCGGACGGGUGAGUAACACGUGGAUAACCUACCUAUAAGACUGGGAUAACUUCGGGAAACCGGAGCUAAUACCGGAUAAUAUUUUGAACCGCAUGGUUCAAAAGUGAAAGACGGUCUUGCUGUCACUUAUAGAUGGAUCCGCGCUGCAUUGGCUAGUUGGUAAGGUAACGGCUUACCAAGGCAACGAUGCAUAGCCGACCUGAGAGGGUGAUCGGCCACACUGGAACUGAGACACGGUCCAGACUCCUACGGGAGGCAGCAGUAGGGAAUCUUCCGCAAUGGGCGAAAGCCUGACGGAGCAACGCCGCGUGAGUGAUGAAGGUCUUCGGAUCGUAAAACUCUGUUAUUAGGGAAGAACAUAUGUGUAAGUAACUGUGCACAUCUUGACGGUACCUAAUCAGAAAGCCACGGCUAACUACGUGCCAGCAGCCGCGGUAAUACGUAGGUGGCAAGCGUUAUCCGGAAUUAUUGGGCGUAAAGCGCGCGUAGGCGGUUUUUUAAGUCUGAUGUGAAAGCCCACGGCUCAACCGUGGAGGGUCAUUGGAAACUGGAAAACUUGAGUGCAGAAAAGGAAAGUGGAAUUCCAUGUGUAGCGGUGAAAUGCGCAGAGAUAUGGAGGAACACCAGUGGCGAAGGCGACUUUCUGGUCUGUAACUGACGCUGAUGUGCGAAAGCGUGGGGAUCGAACAGGAUUAGAUACCCUGGUAGUCCACGCCGUAAACGAUGAGUGCUAAGUGUUAGGGGGUUUCCGCCUCUUAGUGCUGCAGCUAACGCAUUAAGCACUCCGCCUGGGGAGUACGACCGCAAGGUUGAAACUCAAAGGAAUUGACGGGGACCCGCACAAGCGGUGGAGCAUGUGGUUUAAUUCGAAGCAACGCGAAGAACCUUACCAAAUCUUGACAUCCUUUGACAACUCUAGAGAUAGAGCCUUCCCCUUCGGGGGACAAAGUGACAGGUGGUGCAUGGUUGUCGUCAGCUCGUGUCGUGAGAUGUUGGGUUAAGUCCCGCAACGAGCGCAACCCUUAAGCUUAGUUGCCAUCAUUAAGUUGGGCACUCUAAGUUGACUGCCGGUGACAAACCGGAGGAAGGUGGGGAUGACGUCAAAUCAUCAUGCCCCUUAUGAUUUGGGCUACACACGUGCUACAAUGGACAAUACAAAGGGCAGCGAAACCGCGAGGUCAAGCAAAUCCCAUAAAGUUGUUCUCAGUUCGGAUUGUAGUCUGCAACUCGACUACAUGAAGCUGGAAUCGCUAGUAAUCGUAGAUCAGCAUGCUACGGUGAAUACGUCCCCGGGUCU